AAACCAACCGGGAUUGCCUCAGUAACGGCGAGUGAAGCGGCAAAAGCUCAAAUUUGAAAUCUGGCACUUUCAGUGUCCGAGUUGUAAUUUGUAGAAGUAGUUUUGGGGCUGGUCCUUAUCUAUGUUCCUUGGAACAGGACGUCAUAGAGGGUGAGAAUCCCGUGUGAUGAGGAUCCCAGCUCUGUGUAAAACCGCUUUCGAAGAGUCGAGUUGUUUGGGAAUGCAGCUCUAAGUGGGUGGUAAAUUCCAUCUAAAGCUAAAUAUUGGCGAGAGACCGAUAGCGAACAAGUACAGUGAUGGAAAGAUGAAAAGAACUUUGAAAAGAGAGUGAAAAAGUACGUGAAAUUGUUGAAAGGGAAGGGCAUUUGAUCAGACAUGGUGUUUUGUUCCCUCCGCUCCUUGUGGGUGGGGGAUCUGCAGCUCACUGGGCCAACAUCAGUUCUGGGAGCCGGAUAAAUCUGCAGGAACGUAGCUUUCUUCGGGAAGUGUUAUAGCCUGUGGGAAUACUGCUACCUGGGACUGAGGACUGCGUCUUUAUGGCAAGGAUGUUGGCAUAAUGGUUAAAUGCCGC
rnacentral:rRNA from 2 species